rnacentral:rRNA from 1 species
UUGGGCUACACACGUGCUACAAUGGCGGCGACAAUGGGCAGCGAAGGGGCGACCCGGUGCAAAUCCCAAAAAGCCGUCUCCAGUUCGGAUUGCACUCUGCAACUCGAGUGCAUGAAGGUGGAAUCGCUAGUAAUCGCGUAACAGCAUGACGCGGUGAAUACGUUCCCGGGCCUU